rnacentral:rRNA from 1 species
CCUACGGGUGGCAGCAGUAGGGAAUUUUCGUCAAUGGGCGCAAGCCUGAACGAGCGAUGCCGCGUGAGUGAAGAAGGCCUUCGGGUCGUAAAGCUCUGUUGCGGGGGAAAAAAGUCAGCAUCAGGAAAUGGGUGCUGACUGAUGGUGCACCGCCAGAAAGUCACGGCUAAAUACGUGCCAGCAGCCGCGGUAAUACGUAGGUGGCGAUCGUUAUCCCGAAUGAGUGGGCGUAAAGGGUGCGCAGGCGGUCCUGUAAGUCUGGAGUGAAACGGAUGGGGCCAACUCAUGCAUGGCCUUUGAAACUGGAGGACUGGAGAGCAGGAGAGGGUGGUGGAACGCCAUGUGUAGCGGUAAAAGGCGUAGAUAUAUGGAAGAACACCAGUGGCGAAGGCGGCCGCCUGGCGUGUUGCUGACGCUGAGGCACGAAAGCGUGGGGAGCAAAUAGGAUUAGAUACCCCUGUAGUC